rnacentral:rRNA from 1 species
CUCAAGUUGAAGGUCAUCGGCGUUAAGCGUGAUUAAAGUCCCCUUAGAUUAGGGCCAAAUUAAUACUUAGUCGUAUAAAACUUGCUAUUAAGAAGAACAUAAACGAAAGUUGCCCUAACCCUCACACUUGAAUACACGACAGCUGGGGGACAAACUGGGAUCAGAUACCCCACUAUGCCCAGCCGUAAACAAUUAAUCCACACCUAUAAGCGCCAGGGAAUUACGAGCCAUGCUUAAAACCCAAAGGAUUUGACGGUGUCCCACCCCACUAGAGGAGCCUGUUCUAUAAUCGAUAAUCCCCGCUACACCCGACCAUUUCUUGCUUAUCAGUCUGUAUACCUCCGUCGAAAGCUUACCGUGUGAACGCCCCCACAGUAGGUUUAAUGACCUCCGUCAAUACGUCAGGUCAAGGUGCAGCUUAAGAAAUGGGAAGUAAUGGGCUACAAUUUCUAACCUAGAACAAACGAAAGACUAUGUGAAACCCUAGUCACGAAGGCGGAUUUAGCAGUAAGAAGAAAAUAGAGUGUUCUUUUUAAUCUGGCUCUGGGACGCGUACACACCGCCCGUCACCCUCUUCGAUAGUGCUAACCAACAGUUCAUAACCUAUUCAUACGUCUUAGAAGAGGCAAGUCGUAACAUGGUAAGUGUACUGGAAAGUGCACUUGGUAUAUUA